CAGUCGCCACGGGAAUACGAACCGUGCGAACGUUAUUCGGAAUUACUGGGCUUAAAGCGCGUGUAGGCGGCUCGGCACGUCGGACGUUGAAAGCCCCCGGCUCAACCGGGGAAGGGGCGCCGAUACGGCCGAGCUGGAGGGAGGUAGGGGGUCUGGAACUUCCGGUGGAGCGGUGAAAUGCGUUGAGAUCGGAAGGAACGCCUGUGGCGAAAGCGAGGCCCUGGACCUUUUCUGACGCUGAGGUGCGAAAGCGUGGGGAGCAAAUGGGAUUAGAUACCCCAGUAGUCCCUGUCUCUUAUAC
rnacentral:rRNA from 1 species